CCCUUAGAUGUUCGGGGCUGCACGCGCGCUACAAUGAAGAAAUCAACGUGUCAGCUCCCUGCCUCGAGAGGGGUGGGUAAUCCGUUGAACCUUCUUCGUGCUAGGGAUUGGGGCUUGUAAUUCUUCCCCAUGAACGAGGAAUUCCCAGUAAGCGCAAGUCAUAAGCUUGCGUUGAUUACGUCCCUGCCCUUUGUACACACCGCCCGUCGCUACUACCGAUUGAAUGGUUUAGUGAGAUCUCUGGAUUGACGCUGGCUAGGGGGCGACCCUUGGCCAGACUGUUGAGAAACUGCUCAAACUUGAUCAUUUAGAGGAAGUAAAAGUCGUAACA
rnacentral:rRNA from 1 species